AGUUCUGAAUGUGGUUGCAGGGCAGCUCUUGCACUGAGAACAAAUACUCUGGCUUGUCAAUACAAAUCAGUGGAGUUAGUAGAAUGGGGAUCACACCAGAAGCUGGACAUUGCAAACUCAGGGAAGCAUGAGGAAUUUCACUGCCUUCCAGCAAUUAAAUUGCAUUCAAGAAUUCUACAGUAGCCUUGGUGGUCUGCAACGACAUUUCAGGGAUUAGAUGCUCUAUCUCCUGUCUGCAGACACAUGAGCAGAACCCAGGAUGGAAGAAUGUAAUCACCAGCGUGACUCCAGUGAUGGAGAUGAACUAGAUGUGGAGACUGGGGAGCAGCAGAGUCAACUCAGUUAUCAUCUUGGCGGCCGGGCUGCCGUCCAGCUCACAGAAGCCACCUGAUCCGGAAAAGAUUUCCAAAGCCUGCUGGGGCUGUUUCCAUACAGGCAGAGGCCAGUGUCAUCUCCAGCACCUGGGGGACAUAAGAGAAAGAGCCAGUGGCCUCCAAGACAAUCUCAGUGUCUUCCCACUCACAGAACCAGGCAACAAAGAAGUCUGUGGCGUCCACAGGAGGGAAACAAAGCAAAACGAAGCGCCGACCAGUGCGGUACUAUUAAUUCAAAUUAAUGACCCUCACCUACAAAUAAAGCUGGUGCCUGGCAGGUCGCUGGCUCUUGGAGAGCUGCAAUGAGAACAAACGUGGCUUUGCCGUCUGGCCAGGCAAUCGAUGCCUCCUGCCUGUCCCUGGCCGCCCCGCACCCACCUCUUACAGAUGUUACCUGUCUCCUGUUAAUUCUCCCGUGUCACUCUCCACUUCCCCGGUGGGGGUGGGGGGGGGGCGGUCAA
rnacentral:lncRNA from 1 species